ensembl:lncRNA
CUGCACUGAACUGUCGUCAGAUGGUUGCAGUUUUCUAAUCUGCAUUGUGUCUGAAGGAAAUGAGAAGCAGAAUUUCUCCUUCCUCCAAAGCCCUGUUAAUUUUAAUCCUUUUGCAUGGAGUUGGAUUCGUGCUGCAGCCAGAAAGGAGGCAAAAGAACUAGAUUAAACUUGUGGAGAAUUCUCAUUGUUGCAAGGAAACAUCCUGGAGGACGAAUGAGCUAUUGACAUUCUCUCCUGAAGCAAGAAGCUGUCCCAGGAGGUCCAUAAGAAACAAGAAAUAACAACAAAGACUGAAAAAUAAAUUGAUGAAACCAGAGAUGACUGCAGACCUGCAAAUAGCUUUUCACACUGUUGCAGUUACUGUUUGAAUUGAAUAGUUUAGAUUUGCAAAUUGAUG